GACGAACGCUGGCGGCGUGCUUAACACAUGCAAGUCGAGCGGUAAGGCCCUUUCGGGGGUACACGAGCGGCGAACGGGUGAGUAACACGUGGGUGACCCGCCCUCAGCUCUGGGAUAAGCCUGGGAAACCGGGUCUAAUACUGGAUAUGACUCCAUGACGCAUGUUGUGGGGUGGAAAGCCUUGUGCGGCUGAGGAUGGGCCCGCGGCCUAUCAGCUUGUUGGUGGGGUGAUGGCCUACCAAGGCGACGACGGGUAGCCGGCCUGAGAGGGCGACCGGCCACGCUGGGACUGAGACACGGCCCAGACUCCUACGGGAGGCAGCAGUGGGGAAUCUUGCGCAAUGGGCGAAAGCCUGACGCAGCGACGCCGCGUGAGGGAUGACGGCCU
rnacentral:rRNA from 1 species